rnacentral:rRNA from 1 species
GAUGAACGCUGGCGGCGUGCCUAAUACAUGCAAGUCGAGCGAGAUGUUAGCGCAUGAACCUUCGGGGGAUUAUGCUAACGGACAGCGGCGGACGGGUGAGUAACGCGUAGGCAACCUGCCCCUGACAGAGGGAUAGCCAUUGGAAACGAUGAUUAAAACCUCAUGACACCGUAGAAGCACAUGCUUCAUCGGUCAAAGAUUUAUCGGUCAGGGAUGGGCCUGCGUCUGAUUAACUAGUUGGUGAGGUAACGGCUCACCAAGGUGACGAUCAGUAGCCGACCUGAGAGGGUGAUCGGCCACAUUGGAACUGAGACACGGUCCAAACUCUACGGAGGCAGCAGUAGGGAAUCUUGCACAAUGGGCGAAAGCCUGAUGCAGCAACGCCGCGUGAAGGAUGAAG